UUAAGUGACUAAGCGUACAAGGUGGAUGCCUUGGCAAUCAGAGGCGACGAAGGACGUGCUAAUCUGCGAAAAGCUUGGAUGAGUCGAUAAGAGGCGCUUAAUCCAAGAUGUCCGAAUGGGGAAACCCAGUAGAUGAAGAAUCUACUAUCACUUACUGAAUCCAUAGGUAAGUGAGGCAAACCGGGAGAACUGAAACAUCUAAGUACCCCGAGGAAAAGAAAUCAACCGAGAUUUCGUUAGUAGCGGCGAGCGAACGCGAAGGAGCCUGUUAGUGAUAAUGACAGAGACAGAGGAACAAGCUGGGAAGCUUGGCGAUACAGGGUGAUAGCCCCGUACUCGAAGUCCAGGUCAUGGUACUAAGCUAACGAUAAGUAGGGCGGGACACGUGAUAUCCUGUUUGAAGAUGGGGGGACCAUCCUCCAAGGCUAAAUACUCCUGAUUGACCGAUAGUGAACCAGUACUGUGAAGGAAAGGCGAAAAGAACCCCGGUGAGGGGAGUGAAAUAGAACCUGAAACCUUGUACGUACAAGCAGUGGGAGCCCUUUAAGGGUGACUGCGUACCUUUUGUAUAAUGGGUCAGCGACUUAUAUUUUGUAGCGAGGUUAACCGAAUAGGGGAGCCGAAGGGAAACCGAGUCUUAACUGGGCGUCUAGUUGCAAGGUAUAGACCCGAAACCCGGUGAUCUAGCCAUGGGCAGGUUGAAGGUUGGGUAACACUAACUGGAGGACCGAACCGACUAAUGUUGAAAAAUUAGCGGAUGACUUGUGGCUGGGGGUGAAAGGCCAAUCAAACCGGGAGAUAGCUGGUUCUCCCCGAAAUCUAUUUAGGUAGAGCCUUGAGCGGACACCUUCGGGGGUAGAGCACUGUUUCGGCUAGGGGUCCAUCCCGGAUUACCAACCCGAUGCAAACUACGAAUACCGAAGAGUGAUACUCAGGAGACACACGGCGGGUGCUAACGUCCGUCGUGGAGAGGGAAACAACCCAGACCGCCAGCUAAGGUCCCAAAGUCUAUAUUAAGUGGGAAACGAAGUGGGAAGGCUUAGACAGCUAGGAUGUUGGCUUAGAAGCAGCCAUCAUUUAAAGAAAGCGUAAUAGCUCACUAGUCGAGUCGGCCUGCGCGGAAGAUGUAACGGGGCUCAAAUAUAGCACCGAAGCUGCGGCAUCAGUAGCAAUACUGUUGGGUAGGGGAGCGUUCUGUAAGCGGAUGAAGGUGGCUCGAGAGGGCUGCUGGACGUAUCAGAAGUGCGAAUGCUGACAUAAGUAACGAUAAAACGGGUGAAAAACCCGUUCGCCGGAAGACCAAGGGUUCCUGUCCAACGUUAAUCGGGGCAGGGUGAGUCGGCCCCUAAGGCGAGGCUGAAAAGCGUAGUCGAUGGGAAACGGGUUAAUAUUCCCGUACUUGGAUAAACUGCGAUGUGGGGACGGAGCAGGUUAGGUUAUCGCACUGUUGGAUAUGUGCGUUUAAGUUGGUAGGUGAGAAGUUUAGGCAAAUCCGGACUUCUAUCACACCGAGAGAUGAUGACGAGGCUCUACGGAGCUGAAGUAACCGAUACCACACUUCCAGGAAAAGCCACUAAGCUUCAGGUUUAUCUAAACCGUACUGAAAACCGACACAGGUGGUCAGGUAGAGAAUACUCAGGCGCUUGAGAGAACUCGGGUGAAGGAACUAGGCAAAAUAGCACCGUAACUUCGGGAGAAGGUGCGCCGGCGUAGAUUGUAGUCCCUAGCGGGCGAAGGUUGAACCGGUCGAAGAUACCAGCUGGCUGCAACUGUUUAUUAAAAACACAGCACUCUGCAAACACGAAAGUGGACGUAUAGGGUGUGAUGCCUGCCCGGUGCUGGAAGGUUAAUUGAUGGUGUAAUCGAAAGAGAAGCUCCUGAUCGAAGCCCCAGUAAACGGCGGCCGUAACUAUAACGGUCCUAAGGUAGCGAAAUUCCUUGUCGGGUAAGUUCCGACCUGCACGAA
rnacentral:rRNA from 1 species